rnacentral:rRNA from 1 species
GGCGGCGUGCUUAACACAUGCGAGUCGAGCGAAGCACUUAUGAAAGAUUCUUCGGAUGAUUUCCUAUUUGACUGAGCGGCGGACGGGUGAGUAACGCGUGGGUAACCUGCCUCAUACAGGGGGAUAACAGUUAGAAAUGACUGCUAAUACCGCAUAAGACCACCGCACCGCAUGGUGCAGGGGUAAAAACUCCGGUGGUAUGAGAUGGACCCGCGUCUGAUUAGUUAGUUGGUGGGGUAACGGCCUACCAAGGCGGCGAUCAGUAGCCGACCUGAAAGGGUGACCGGCCACAUUGGGACUGAGACACGGCCCAAACUCCUACGGGAGGCAGCAGUGGGGAAUAUUGCACAAUGGGGGAAACCCUGAUGCAUCGACGCCGCGUGAGCGAAGAAGUAUUUCGGUAUGUAAAGCUCUAUCAGCAGGGAAGAAAAUGACGGUACCUGACUAAGAAGCCCCGGCUAACUACGUGCCACCAGCCGCGGUAAUACGUAGGGGGCAAGCGUUAUCCGGAUUUACUGGGUGUAAAGGGAGCGUAGACGGAGCAGCAAGUCUGAUGUGAAAACCCGGGGCUCAACCCCGGGACUGCAUUGGAAACUGUUGAUCUGGAGUGCCGGAGAGGUAAGCGGAAUUCCUAGUGUAGCGGUGAAAUGCGUAGAUAUUAGGAGGAACACCAGUGGCGAAGGCGGCUUACUGGACGGUAACUGACGUUGAGGCUCGAAAGCGUGGGGAGCAAACAGGAUUAUAUACCCUGGUAGUCCACGCCGUAAACGAUGAGUAUUUGGUGUCGGGUGGCAAAACCAUUCGGUGCUGCAGCCAACGCAAUAAGUAGUCCAUCUGGGGAGUACGUUCGCAAGAAUGAAACUCAAAGGAAUUGACGGGGACCCGCACAAGCGGUGGAGCAUGUGGUUUAAUUAGAAGCAACGCGAAGAAUUUUUCCUGCUCUUGACAUCCCGGUGACGGCAGAGUAAUGUAUGCUUUUUUUUGGAACACCGGUGACAGGGUGGUGCAUGGUUGUCGUCAGCUCGUGUCGUGAGAUGUUGGGUUAAGUCCCGCAACGAGCGCAACCCCUAUCUUCAGUAGCCAGCGGUAAGGCCGGGCACUCUGGAGAGACUGCCAGGGAUAACCUGGAGGAAGGUGGGGAGGAUGUCAAAUCAUCAUGCCCCUUAUGAGCAGGGCUACACACGUGCUACAAUGGUGUAAACAAAGGGAAGCGAACCCGCGAGGGUGGGCAAAUCCCAAAAAUAACGUCUCAGUUCGGAUUGUAGUUUGCAACUUGAGUACAUGAAGCUGGAAUCGGUAGUAAUCGCGAAUCAGAAUGUCGCGGUGAAUACGUUCCCGGGUCUUGUACACACCGCCCGUCACACCAUGGGAGUCAGUAACGCCCGAAGUCAGUGACCCAACCGUAAGGAGGGAGCUGCCGAAGGUGGGA